rnacentral:rRNA from 1 species
AUUGAACGCUGGCGGCAUGCCUUACACAUGCAAGUCGAACGGCAGCGGACCUUCGGGUGCCGGCGAGUGGCGAACGGGUGAGUAAUAUAUCGGAACGUACCUUUCAGUGGGGGAUAACGUAGCGAAAGUUACGCUAAUACCGCAUAUUCUGUGAGCAGGAAAGCAGGGGAUCGCAAGACCUUGCGCUGAUUGAGCGGCCGAUAUCAGAUUAGCUAGUUGGUGAGGUAAAGGCUCACCAAGGCGACGAUCUGUAGCGGGUCUGAGAGGAUGAUCCGCCACACUGGAACUGAGACACGGUCCAGACUCCUACGGGAGGCAGCAGUGGGGAAUUUGGACAAUGGCGCAAGCCUGAUCCAGCCAUGCCGCGUGAGUGAAGAAGGCCU